rnacentral:rRNA from 1 species
AUUGAACGCUGGCGGCAGGCCUAACACAUGCAAGUCGAGCGAGCGGCGGACGGGUGAGUAAUGUAUGGGGAUCUGCCCGAUCGCGGGGGAUAACUACUGGAAACGGUGGCUAAUACCGCCUACUCUUGGAUGAACCCAUAUUGGAGUAGCUAGUAGGUGGGGUAAAGGCUCACCUAGGCCACGAUCUCUAGCUGGUCUGAGAGGAUGAUCAGCCACACUGGAACAGAGACACGGACCAGACUCCUACGGGAUGCAGCAGUGGGGAAUAUUGCACAAUGGGCGAAAGCCUGAUGCAGCCAUGCCGCGUGUAUGAAGAAGGCCUUAGGGUUGUAAAGUACUUUCAGCGGGGAGGCGUUACCCGCAGAAGAAGCACCGGCUAACUCCGUGCCAGCAGCCGCGGUAAUUC